rnacentral:rRNA from 1 species
GAUGAACGCUGGCGGCGUGCUUAACACAUGCAAGUCGAACGAGAAAUGUAGACGGAAACCUUCGGGCGGAAGCCUUCAUUUCGAGUGGCGGACGGGUGAGUAACGCGUGGGUAACCUGCCUCAUACAGGGGGAUAACAGUUGGAAACGACUGUUAAUACCGCAUAAGACCACAGCAUCGCAUGAUGCGGGGGUAAAAACUCCGGUGGUAUGAGAUGGACCCGCGUUCGAUUAGCCAGUUGGCGGGGUAACGGCCCACCAAAGCGACGAUCGAUAGCCGAUCUGAGAGGAUGUCCGGCCACAUUGGGACUGAGACACGGCCCAAACUCCUACGGGAGGCAGCAGUGGGGAAUAUUGCACAAUGGGGGAAACCCUGAUGCAGCGACGCCGCGUGAGUGAAGAAGUACUUCGGUAUGUAAAGCUCUAUCAGCAGGGAAGAAAAUGACGGUACCUGAGUAAGAAGCCCCGGCUAACUACGUG